rnacentral:rRNA from 1 species
UACAGAGGGUGCGAGCGUUAAUCGGAAUUACUGGGCGUAAAGCGUGCGUAGACGGUUAUCUAAGUCGGAUGUGAAAGCCCCGGGCUCAACCUGGGAAUUGCAUUCGAGACUGAAUAGCUAGGGUGCGGUAGAGGGAAGCGGAAUUUCCGGUGCAGCGGUGAAAUGCGUAGAUAUCGGAAGGAACAUCAGUGGCGAAAGCGGCUUCCUGGACCAGCACCGACGUUCAGGCACGAAAGCGUGGGGAGCAAACAGG